GAUGAACGCUGGCGGCGUGCCUAAUACAUGCAAGUCGAGCGAACGGACGAGAAGCUUGCUUCUCUGAUGUUAGCGGCGGACGGGUGAGUAACACGUGGAUAACCUACCUAUAAGACUGGGAUAACUUCGGGAAACCGGAGCUAAUACCGGAUAAUAUUUUGAACCGCAUGGUUCAAAAGUGAAGGACGGUCUUGCUGUCACUUAUAGAUGGAUCCGCGCUGCAUUAGCUAGUUGGUAAGGUAACGGCUUACCAAGGCAACGAUGCAUAGCCGACCUGAGAGGGUGAUCGGCCACCCUGGAACUGAGACACGGUCCAGACUCCUACGGGAGGCAGCAGUAGGGAAUCUUCCGCAAUGGGCGAAAGCCUGACGGAGCAACGCCGCGUGAGUGAUGAAGGUCUUCGGAUCGUAAAACUCUGUUAUUAGGGAAGAACAUAUGUGUAAGUAACUGUGCACAUCUUGACGGUACCUAAUCAGAAAGCCACGGCUAACUACGUG
rnacentral:rRNA from 1 species